UAAUUGACGUGUAUGCUUGUUUACGUAAAGAAAAAGAAAUAAGAAAUGGACGGACCAGCAUCAUAGAAAUAAUUUUGGCAUGCUUUGUACGCCGCAUCAAGUGACCAUAAUUUUCUGAAUUUUGACAUUUAUUACUUACUAAAUAUGAAAAAAGAAUGUCGGAAUGGAGAUGUCAAAGCUCUUCCUCUCCCUCCCUUUUGACAUUUAAUUCUCCGCUUCCGGUACUCUCAUCUCACUGGAAACCAGCCGUAUAUGCCUACCUAGACCCCAGAAAAUGGUGAAUUCAUCGAAGCAUCAUGGAUUUUGUUUUGCUUGAGCUUUUGGUUCGCAUUUCUGAAGUUGUGCUUUCAGAGUUGUUGGUGGUAGAUCUGUUUCAAUGAUCAUCUAUGACAAGGUGAUGUCGCAUUCUGACCUUAUUGUUCAGUUUAAUUUGUAAAGUUUUGAGCAAUGCCAAUAUCAAUCUAAUGUGUUUUUCACUUCUGUACACUUAAUAGUUCGACUUCGACAGAUACUUGAGAUUUGAA